AGAGUAUAGCUCAAGUGGUAGAGUGCGUGCUUAGCAUGCAUGAGGUCCUGGGUUCAGUCCCCAGUAGCUCCU
rnacentral:tRNA from 1 species